GNGCCGGAGCUAACGCAAUAAGCACUCCGCCUGGGGAGUACGACCGCAAGGUUGAAACUCAAAGGAAUUGACGGGGGCCCGCACAAGCGGUGGAGCAUGUGGUUUAAUUCGAAGCAACGCGAAGAACCUUACCAGGUCUUGACAUCCCGAUGNUAUUNUUAGAGAUAGGAAGUUACUUCGGUACAUCGGAGACAGGUGGUGCAUGGUUGUCGUCAGCUCGUGUCGUGAGAUGUUGGGUNNNNNNNNNNNNNNAGCGCAACCCUUAUUGUUAGUUGCCAUCAUUAAGUUGGGCACUCUAGCGAGACUGCCGGUAAUAAACCGGAGGAAGGUGGGGAUGACGUCAAAUCAUCAUGCCCCUUAUGACCUGGGCUACACACGUGCUACAAUGGUCGGUACAACGAGUUGCGAGCCGGUGACGGCAAGCUAAUCUCUGAAAGCCGAUCUCAGUUCGGAUUGGAGGCUGCAACUCGCCUCCAUGAAGUCGGAAUCGCUAGUAAUCGCGGAUCAGCACGCCGCGGUGAAUACGUUCCCGGGCCUU
rnacentral:rRNA from 1 species